ACCCACAGUCUUUGCAAAAUCCUAAUCUGAGACUGGCCUAGUCUUUCAAAAAUCUUUUCCAAAUCUUUGCUAAGUCUGUCAAUGUAAGGUAGGCUUAAGUUGACACUUGUCAGUGUCCAUUCUUUUGUUGGUCCAGAGUUUAUUUUUACUGCAUGAACGGUGUUUAUAAUCUCGUUCAGAGAGGGUGAAACCGAAGCCAGUCAGGCUCUUGGUUCAGUCCUUCGGGUACCCAUCUGACGUCAUUACGUCGGCAGACGUCUCUCCCUGGAAGUCCGAAGUUGCCCGAGAACAAUGGCUGCCUGACGACGGCUGUUUGACUGUUUGAAAGCCAAGGUUAUCAAGGAAACAAGUGGUGUACUGGAUGAAGUUUGAUGGACUCUUCUGAUCAGGUGCUGCAGGUCUUCCAGCUACUGUUUGGAGAAGAUAUUUCCUCUCAAUUUAUGGAAGUAGGGAAUUUUUCUGAAGGCAGAAAUCAAGGAUUCAAGAACCCAAGUUGGACUGUUGAUUCCACUGAGACCACUGUGUGCAUUUUGAAAUGUUCCAAAUGUGUGUCACGUCCAUACGGAAGAAGUUCCAAGCCCACAAUGGGCUCUAUGAACUGUCCAGGGCAAAGUCGGUCUACCCUGAUGACACUCCCUGUUCCUUGAUGGUAACCAUGGCUGCUGCCCUGAACGUGGUGGGUGUGGACUAUAGGAGCCCUCAGAAAUAAACUGAUAUCAAUAAUUAAUAUGGAUGGUGAUUGUGGCAAGGGUGCCUCCAUAAGGUGCCAUCCAGAAGCCCCAGCCUGGAGCCAGUGGCUGCUAUUGCAAGACUCAUGGGGGAUGAUCUGCAGGCAAAGCUACGAUUAGACACUUGACAUUUACUGCGAAAGGUACCAUCAGAGCACCUCUCCCUACCCUGCAGGAUAUCUAUACCAGAAAAGUACAACAACGGCCCAAAACUAUUUCCAAAAGACAUUUCACACCCUGACCAUGGACUGUUUAAACCACUGAGGUCAAGCAGACGUCUCUGUUCCCACAUGGCUAAAACAGAAAGGAAACAAGGAGUCUUUUCUCAAUAUGCUGCUCCAUCGCUCCACCCCUGAAACAUCAGUUUCGAUCUUGAACACAUGAGGAUGUUGCCUCAAGUUUGCCUGCAGACAGUCAAUAUAGACAGGUGUGUUGUUUUGAUUUGAUGUUUAGAUUGCCAUGCAUACAGUAUCUUUACAAUAAUGAUGGAACAAAUUCUCAUUUGGUUUUACCUACAUUGGGAUUAAAGGAAAACUUAACCGUUU